AGCGAACGCUGGCGGCAGGCUUAACACAUGCAAGUCGAGCGGAUGUAGCAAUACAUCAGCGGCAGACGGGUGAGUAACACGUGGGAACGUACCUUUUGGUUCGGAACAACACAGGGAAACUUGUGCUAAUACCGGAUAAGCCCUUACGGGGAAAGAUUUAUCGCCGAAAGAUCGGCCCGCGUCUGAUUAGCUAGUUGGUGAGGUAACGGCUCACCAAGGCGACGAUCAGUAGCUGGUCUGAGAGGAUGAUCAGCCACAUUGGGACUGAGACACGGCCCAAACUCCUACGGGAGGCAGCA
rnacentral:rRNA from 1 species